rnacentral:lncRNA from 1 species
UCUGUAUUGCAUAGUAGUUCAGAUUCUCUGUGGAAACCAUAAGGCUAUUUUGUCUACUUUGCAUGAAUACUUCAGACUUGUAUUUCAGAGCCAAGCAGUAACUAAAAUGUGGACCUUGCUUUUCAGAGAUAAGAGUUCUUAAUUAUAUGUCUUUAAGUGUUUCCUUCUAGGCUUCCCACCAAGUGUUUUGAUCUUUGAAAUGUAAGCAACUGAUCACUGAUGUAUAUUGGCUGGCAAUUCAUCCUUCUGCCACAUGUACAUAUGGAGAACUGUGAAGGUUUCUAAGGAAUUUAAAUCACUUGUCAGCUUGUGUUCUUAUUCGCAAACACACCAGCUUUGGACUCUAAACCUAUUUUUCCAACACUAAUUCCAGUGCUUCAAAAUAACUCUCUUUUCAACAUAAAAUUGAUGAAAGGAUAUGAAGGAG